UUAAAAUGCGAAGCCUCACGGCCUAGCUUUAUAAUCCCUUAUUACACCUGUGCACCUUAUUGUCUUCGGACAAUUUACUACAAACAUCAGUGUAACGAAUUGUAAAGUAUUAUAAAUCAAUA
rnacentral:misc_RNA from 1 species